GGUUAAGCGACUAAGCGUACACGGUGGAUGCCCUGGCAGUCAGAGGCGAUGAAGGACGUGCUAAUCUGCGAUAAGCGUCGGUGAGGUGAUA
rnacentral:rRNA from 1 species